rnacentral:rRNA from 1 species
AGUGAACGCUGGCGGUAGGCCUAACACACGCAAGUCGAACGGCAGCACAGUAAGAGCUUGCUCUUACGGGUGGCGAGUGGCGGACGGGUGAGGAAUACAUCGGAAUCUACUUUUUCGUGGGGGAUAACGUAGGGAAACUUACGCUAAUACCGCAUACGACCUACGGGUGAAAGCAGGGGAUCUUCGGACCUUGCGCGAUUGAAUGAGCCGAUGUCGGAUUAGCUAGUUGGCGGGGUAAAGGCCCACCAAGGCGACGAUCCGUAGCUGGUCUGAGAGGAUGAUCAGCCACACUGGAACUGAGACACGGUCCAGACUCCUACGGGAGGCAGCAGUGGCGAAUAUUGGACAAUGGGCGCAAGCCUGAUCCAGCCAUACCGCGUGGGUGAAGAAGGCCUUCGGGUUGUAAAGCCCUUUUGUUGGGAAAGAAAAGCAGCAGGUUAAUACCCCGCUGUUCUGACGGUACCCAAAGAAUAAGCACCGGCUAACUUCGUG